CGAACGAUGAACUCCAGCUUGCUGGGGGGAUUAGUGGCGAACGGGUGAGUAACACGUGAGUAACCUGCCCUUGACUCUGGGAUAAGCGCUGGAAACGGCGUCUAAUACCGGAUACGAGCUUCAGCCGCAUGGCUAGGAGUUGGAAAGAAUUUUGGUCAAGGAUGGACUCGCGGCCUAUCAGCUAGUUGGUGAGGUAAUGGCUCACCAAGGCGACGACGGGUAGCCGGCCUGAGAGGGUGACCGGCCACACUGGGACUGAGACACGGCCCAGACUCCUACGGGAGGCAGCAGUGGGGAAUAUUGCACAAUGGGCGCAAGCCUGAUGCAGCAACGCCGCGUGAGGGAUGACGGCCUUCGGGUUGUAAACCUCUUUUAGUAGGGAAGAAGCGAAAGUGACGGUACCUGCAGAAAAAGCACCGGCUAACUACGUGCCAGCAGCCGCGGUAAUACGUAGGGUGCAAGCGUUGUCCGGAAUUAUUGGGCGUAAAGAGCUCGUAGGCGGUUUGUCGCGUCUGCUGUGAAAUCUGGGGGCUCAACCCCCAGCCUGCAGUGGGUACGGGCAGACUAGAGUGCGGUAGGGGAGAUUGGAAUUCCUGGUGUAGCGGUGGAAUGCGCAGAUAUCAGGAGGAACACCGAUGGCGAAGGCAGAUCUCUGGGCCGUAACUGACGCUGAGGAGCGAAAGCGUGGGGAGCGAACAGGAUUAGAUACCCUGGUAGUCCACGCCGUAAACG
rnacentral:rRNA from 1 species